CCUACGGGAGGCAGCAGUGGGGAAUAUUGCGCAAUGGGCGGAAGCCUGACGCAGCGACGCCGCGUGAGGGAUGAAGGUCUUCGGAUUGUAAACCUCUUUCAGUAGGGACGAAUAAAAGACGGUACCUGCAGAAGAAGCACCGGCCAACUACGUGCCAGCAGCCGCGGUAAUACGUAGGGUGCGAGCGUUGUCCGGAAUUAUUGGGCGUAAAGAGCUCGUAGGCGGUUCGUCGCGUCGAAUGUGAAAUCCCGGGGCUCAACUCCGGGUCUGCAUUCGAUACGGGCGGACUAGAGUUCGGUAGGGGAGACUGGAAUUCCUGGUGUAGCGGUGAAAUGCGCAGAUAUCAGGAGGAACACCGGUGGCGAAGGCGGGUCUCUGGGCCGAUACUGACGCUGAGGAGCGAAAGCGUGGGGAGCGAACAGGAUUAGAUACCCUGGUAGUCCACGCCGUAAACGGUGGGCGCUAGGUGUGGGGGACUUCCACGUUCUCUGUGCCGCAGCUACGACAUAAGCGCCCGCCGUCGUGAGUACGGCCGCGACGGACGUAAACUACAAAUAGAAUUAGACGGCGUGAGACGUGCCGAACGGACGACCGACGAGGGAGGUAGG
rnacentral:rRNA from 1 species